rnacentral:lncRNA from 1 species
CCCAAACGAGAAUUGCCUUGUUCUUUGCCGGGUGUGAGCAGGAGGAAUGCACGAGGAAGGAAUGCAGUUGUAUCCCUCAGUGCUGCAAUAAACAAAUUCCGUGACUUGUUGCAUCCCUGUGUAUUUUGUAAAGUGUCUUUAACUAAGAAUCCUUACAAAAUCACCCAUAUCCCAGCAAUUCAUCGAGGCAGGGAUGGAAUGGGGGAUUAGUGGAGAGAACCUUUAGGAGAGAGAUUGCAUUUGGUGGCAAGAGUCUGAGAUUCCUUACAGAAAGAUUUUGGGAUUUUCCUUCCGUCCUGGCUGCCGUAAUUCCACGAGUGUUUUAACUGGAUUUUGCUCCUCCCGGUCUCCAGCGUGGUGCCUCGGGCUAGGAUUCCUAGAGAAGAUGCUCUGGGAGCUGGAGGAGCCCCUGUGGGUACCUGCAGAGAGGGGGAUCCCUGAGGAAUCCCAGAGGAUUUGUGGGGAACAGGAACUGAGAAUUCUCCUUUCUGUUUUGCAGUUGUCUCUGGGAAGCCGCUGCCUCUCAGCCAGUCCAGCACCAAGGAGUUCUCAGGGCUGCUCUCUACCCCCAAGCUGAGCUCAGGUGCUGAGGCCUCGCUGAGCCCGGCUCAGCCCGGCAUCCCCAGCAGCUCUGCCCCCAGCGCCUUCCACGCCCUGCAGAGCCGGCUGGUGGCCAGCAGCAGCCACGG